UGCAAGUCGAACGGCAGCACGGGCUUCGGCCUGGUGGCGAGUGGCGGACGGGUGAGUAAUGCUUGGGAAUCUGCCUAGUGGUGGGGGAUAACCCGGGGAAACUCGGGCUAAUACCGCAUACGUUCUACGGAGGAAAGCGGGGGAUCUUCGGACCUCGCGCCAUUGGAUGAGCCCAAGUCCGAUUAGCUAGUUGGCAGGGUAAAGGCCUACCAAGGCGACGAUCGGUAGCUGGUCUGAGAGGACGAUCAGCCACACUGGGACUGAGACACGGCCCAGACUCCUACGGGAGGCAGCAGUGGGGAAUAUUGGACAAUGGGCGCAAGCCUGAUCCAGCAAUGCCGCGUGUGUUGAAGAAGGCCUGCGGGUUGUAAAGCACUUUAAGCAGGAAAGAAGGGGUGGAAGUUAAUACCUUUCAUCAGUGACGUUACCUGCAGAAUAAGCACCGGCUAACUCCGUGCCAGCCGCCGC
rnacentral:rRNA from 1 species